CCUGAACCCACGCUUGGCGGCUCCCCCACACCUCCGAUAAAGGAAUUAGAAAAGCAGAUGAAUAUGAAAGGAUCAAGAUUGCAUUGGGAAACCAGUGUGUGGAAAGGCUCAAAUAGAUAACUCAAUGCCCAGAUUAAGCCCCGCCUCCACGCCAGUAGAGGCUCAACACUUGGUCUUAAGAAAAGACGACUCAAACAAAGUACAGUUGAGCUCAAUUUGGUUCCACACCAGUGUCUCAACAGGCACUUCAGGACAUCACUUCAAAACAUCUCGGGGUCCAAUCUCUUACUGAAUCAUAUUUAGAGUGGUGGAGUAUGAACUCAUUCUGUAUAUUACCCAGCCCAUAAUGUUUACUGCAUGUAUCCCCCACCAUCCAGUCACCUUGGCAA